GAUGAACGCUAGCGGCAGGCCUAAUACAUGCAAGUCGGACGGGAUUUGGGAGCUUGCCCCCAAUGAGAGUGGCGCACGGGUGCGUAACACGUAUGUAACCUACCUUAAUCAGGGGGAUAGCCUCUCGAAAGAGAGAUUAACACCGCAUAAUAUAUUUUUAUUGCAUCGUAGAAAUAUCAAAUAUUUAUAGGAUUAAGAUGGGCAUGCGGAAAAUUAGCUAGUUGGUAAGGUAACGGCUUACCAAGGCUACGAUGUUUAGGGGACCUGAGAGGACGACCCCCCAAGAGGGUACUGGGGCACGGACCAGACUCCGACGGGAGGAAGCAGUAAGGAAUAUUGGUCAAUGGGCGCAAGCCGGAACCAGCCAGGCCGCGUGCAGGAAGACGGCCCUAUGGGUUGUAAACUUCUUUUGUACCGGAAUAAACCCUUUUACGUGUAAAAGGCUGAAUGUACGGUAAGAAUAAGGAUCGGCUAACUCCGUGCCAGCCGCCGCCGUAA
rnacentral:rRNA from 1 species